rnacentral:rRNA from 1 species
GACGAACGCUGGCGGCGUGCUUAACACAUGCAAGUCGAACGCUGAAGCUCAGCUUUUGUUGGGUGGAUGAGUGGCGAACGGGUGAGUAACGCGUGAGUAACCUGCCUCCUUCUUUGGGAUAACGCCCGGAAACGGGUGCUAAUACUGGAUAUUCACUGGUCUUCGCAUGGGGGUUGGUGGAAAGGGUUUUUCUGGUGGGGGAUGGGCUCGCGGCCUAUCAGCUUGUUGGUGGGGUGAUGGCCUACCAAGGCUUUGACGGGUAGCCGGCCUGAGAGGGUGACCGGGCACAUUGGGACUGAGAUACGGCCCAGACUCCUACGGGAGGCAGCAGUGGGGAAUAUGGCGCAAUGGGCGCAAGCGUGAUGCGGCGGCGUCGCGUGAGGGAUGGAGGCCUUCGGGUUGUGAACCUCGUUCGCUCAUGGUCAAGCCGAAACAAUGGUUGUGGUGAGGGUAGUGGGUAAAGAAGCGCCGGCUAACUACGUG